UACAGAGGUCUCAAGCGUUGUUCGGAUUCAUUGGGCGUAAAGGGCGCGUAGGCGGCGGGGUCAGUCGGGUGUGAAAUCUUGGGGCUUAACCCCGAAACGGCACUCGAAACUGCCCGGCUGGAGGGCCGGAGAGGAGAUCGGAAUUCACGGUGUAGCAGUGAAAUGCGUAGAUAUCGUGAGGAAGACCAGUGGCGAAGGCGGGUCUCUGGACAGUUCCUGACGCUGAGGCGCGAAGGCCAGGGGAGCAAACGGG
rnacentral:rRNA from 1 species